UGACGUUUUUAUCCAAUGCCGUGAUUGGUCAAAGCAAAAGUUUGGUAGGUGUGCACAAAAUGCCGCAUCGCCCAAUCAGCGCCAAGUUUUUAUGUUUUGCAUUCUAUGGGACUGUGAAGAAAGUGCCGCGAGAACUUGAAGAUGGAUAAUUUGGGUCGAUUUCAUUGGGGGCUCUUGGCGGCGGCCUUAGCCAAUCAGAAGAAAGCUCAUUGCAUUGUUUCAUAUGAGCAGCCAAUCCAGUAUCCCGUUGUUGAGGGGAGGAGUCAGUUUGCCAGCCUCUUCCAGGAAGUGAAGUCCGCAUCAAGCAUUUGCUACAAUUUGCAUUUCUCUCUUGGGACACCGCUGCGAUGUAGUUGUGCUGCGUUUUCCUGGCCAACGGCAGACUGGAAUGAUGGCAAGUCAACCCAUUUGUCGAACCUGAACUGGACGGCCAUCGUUUGCGACCAAACUGAGCGGCGAGCUUUGGGGCACGUAGACGCUGUUAGAGGCUCUGACGACCGUCAGCCGGUGUCCUCGCUGGUGGAGCUCCUCCAGAAGAACCUUC